rnacentral:misc_RNA from 1 species
UAAUUUUCAUCGACUGUCUUUGAUUUUUAAUUUAUAUCACAAAAGUACUCUAACUUCAAUUUGAUACUACCCUGCUUUGAUCUCUUCUUCGGCUUCAAACCACUCUCCCUGUGCCAUAUCUCUAAACCAACCACCCAUGCUAUCGACGUAGCACCUUCAGAAGCUCCUCCAUCUUCGAUUUAAUAAUGGUUACUUUGCUAUGUUGCAAAUCACCUCUCUAGAUUUUGGGGAGUUGAGGGAGCAACGAAGCAGAAGGUUAAGGUGACUAUUUGUUGAUCUGUGUUUAGAUCUACCCUCCCUUUGCUCCUUGAGCAUGAAUCUUGUAUUAUAUGUUUGAAAUUUUGGAAAAAAAAAAAUGUCAAAUACACAAUGACGAGGAAAUCUCAGCUGGAAAGAUAUGGCAGAAGAAGAUGAAGAAUUUUCUUCAAGUAAACAAUAGAAAUAUAUAGGGUUAUUUAAAGGGGCAAAGAAUUUAUGCUUUGAAUUUUGUAUUAAAAGCGAGAGCUUUUCUAAAUCAAAGAUUUGGCU